GUCAAGAAAACCAGUCGCCGAGUUCGGGCUCGUACGGAAUCGGUGGACCCUCCUGUACCCGUAUCGGCAGAAGUCUCGACUGCACCGCCCCCGGCCAUACAAAGUGAUGACACUCAAGCCAUUACACAAGCCGGAGCGGCAGCCGCCUCACUAUUGCUGGAAGCUUUACAAGUGAGUUCAAGCUUUAUCUCUUCCGAUUUGUCAAUUCGGUAAUUACUCUUGUUAACUUUUCGUACUUCUUAGGGCUCUUCUAUGGAAAUACCACAGUCAGCAACAACUCGACCGGAGGCCAACACGCC
rnacentral:lncRNA from 1 species